rnacentral:rRNA from 1 species
GUGGAUUAGAUACCCUGGUAGUCCACGCCCUAAACUAUGUCAACUGGUUGUCGGGGGAUUAAUUCCCUUGGUAACGAAGCUAACGCGUGAAGUUGACCGCCUGGGGAGUACGGCCGCAAGGUUAAAACUCAAAGGAAUUGACGGGGACCCGCACAAGCGGUGGAUUAUGUGGAUUAAUUCGAUGCAACGCGAAAAACCUUACCUACCCUUGACAUGCUAGGAAGCUCGCAGAGAUGUGAGUGUGCCCGAAAGGGAACCUAGACACAGGUGCUGCACGGCUGUCGUCAGCU